GUCCAGGCAACCCAGCAGGAGGAGUAGCAGCUGGAAGAAGGGUUUUAAGAUUCUGAUGAUGGCCGAAAGGAGAAAAGUAGGCCGAAACGUAAGAAAAAACGUUUAACAAUUGUGUUAUUAUUCGCCGAAAAAUAUCAAUUUAAACAAAGAAAGUA